rnacentral:rRNA from 1 species
GUCCAUGCCGUAAACGUUGGGCACUAGGUGUGGGUCUCAACCAACGAGAUCCGCGCCGUCGCUAACGCAUUAAGUGCCCCGCCUGGGGAGUACGGUCGCAAGACUAAAACUCAAAGGAAUUGACGGGGGCCCGCACAAGCAGCGGAGCGUGUUGCUUAAUUCGAUGCAACGCGAAGAACCUUACCUGGGUUUGACAUGUACCGAAAAGCUCUAGAGAUAGGGUGUCCUUCGGGGCGGUACACAGGUGGUGCAUGGCUGUCGU